rnacentral:misc_RNA from 1 species
AUUGUCCCUAAACUAUCUUUGGCACCUAGAUUUACAUGCGACGACGAAUCGGAUAUUACAUGUAAGGAGAAAAAUGAACUAAAAACAUGAUCUCCAUUUUAGGAUCCUAGUCUAUUCACUCAAGGAUCAGCAUGUCCAACAACUUCAUCAUCGCUUUCGCUCUGUCCACUGAACUCCUCUUCACUAAUCUCAUCAUCACUAUCAUCUUUUGGUGUGCCAACGACAUUCUCCUUCUUUGCGUACCGUUCACAGUACUCUUUCACUUUUUGCUCAUACUGAUUCUUGUCUUUCAUCAUCAGUGAGGCUGCAUCACCAUUUAAUGGAUCCGAAGGAUUCGGAUAUAGCAAAAGCUGUGGCAGAAAAACCUCAAAAACGUUUAAG